rnacentral:rRNA from 1 species
UGAAUACGAGAUGCUACGGCGUCGAAGCAGUCUAUGUCAUACUUCCAAGAAAAGCUCGCACUGUCAUAAACAAAUAAUGCCUGUACCAUAACCGACACAGGUGGGUAGGUAGAGUAUACUAAGGGGCGCGAGAUAACUCUCUCUAAGGAACUCGGCAAAAUGACUCCGUAACUUCGGGAGAAGGAGUGCCUUAUAUAUAAGGUUGCAAUAACAAGAUCCAAGCAACUGUUUAUCAAAAACACAGGUCUCCGCUAAGUCGUAAGACGAUGUAUGGGGGCUGACGCCUGCCCAGUGCCAGAAGGUUAAAGAAGUUGGUUAGCAUUCGCGAAGCUGAUAACUGAAGCCCUGGUGAACGGCGGCCGUAACGAUAACGGUCCUAAGGUAGCGAAAUUCCUUGUCGGGUAAGUUCCGACCCGCACGAAAGGCGUAAUGAUUUGGAUACUGUCUCGGAGAGGGGCUCGGUGAAAUAGACUUGUCUGUGAAGAUGCGGACUACCUGCACCAGGACAGAAAGACCCUAUGAAGCUUUACUGUAACUUGAGAUUGAAAUUGGACUUUACUCGCGCAGUAUAGGUGGGAGGCGUUGAUAAUAUUCUUGCGGGAUUAUUUGAGCCAUCAGUGAGAUACCACUCUUGUAAUGUUAGAUUUCUAACUUUGUAUCAUUAUCUGGUCAAAGGACAGUUUCAGGCGGGCAGUUUGACUGGGGCGGUCGCCUCCUAAACGGUAACGGAGGCGCACAAAGGUUUCCUCUGAACGGGUAGAAAUCGUAUCUAGAGUGUAAAGGCAUAAGGAAGCUUGACUGUGAGACCUACAAGUCGAGCAGGGACGAAAGUCGGUCUUAGUGAUCUGACGGUGCUGAGUGGAAAGGCCGUCACUCAACGGAUAAAAGUUACUCUAGGAUAACAGGCUGAUCUCCCCCAAGAGUUCACAUCGACGGGGAGGUUUGGCACCUCGAUGUCGGCUCAUCGCAUCCUGGGGCGGUAGUACGUCCCAAGGGUUGGGCUGUUCGCCCAUGAAAGCGGUACGCGAGCUGGGUUCAGAACGUCGUGAGACAGUUCGGUCCAUAUCCGGUGUAGGCGUUAGAAUAUUGAGAGGAGCCUUCUUUAGUACGAGAGGACCGAGAAGGACAUACCUCUGGUGUACCAGUUAUCGUGCCAACGGUAAACGCUGGGUAGCUAUGUAUGGAGUGGAUAACCGCUGAAAGCAUCUAAGUGGGAAGCCCACCUCAAGAUAAGUAUUCUCAUC